CCUACGGGAGGCAGCAGUGAGGAAUAUUGGUCAAUGGCCGAGAGGCUGAACCAGCCAAGUCGCGUGAGGGAAGACGGCCCUACGGGUUGUAAACCUCUUUUGCCGGGGAGCAAAGAGCGUCACGCGUUACUCAUUGAGAGUACCCGACGAAAAAGCAUCGGCUAACUCCGUGCCAGCAGCCGCGGUAAUACGGAGGAUGCGAGCGUUAUCCGGGUUUAUUGGGUUUAAAGGGUGCGUAGGCGGAGUGCCAAGUCAGCGGUCAAAUAGCGGGGCUCAACCUCGUACCGCCGUUGAAACUGGAGCUCUUGAGUGCGCGAGAGGUAUGCGGAAUGCGUGGUGUAGCGGUGAAAUGCAUAGAUAUCACGCAGAACUCCGAUUGCGAAGGCAGCAUACCGGCGCGCAACUGACGCUGAUGCACGAAAGCGUGGGUAUCGAACAGGAUUAGAUACCCUUGUAGUC
rnacentral:rRNA from 1 species